rnacentral:misc_RNA from 1 species
GAUGAAGAACGUAGCGAAAUGCGAUAAGUAAUGUGAAUUGCAGAAUUCAGUGAAUCAUCGAAUCUUUGAACGCACAUUGCGCCCCUUGGUAUUCCGAGUGGCAUGCCUGUUCGAGCGUCAUUAUAACCCCUCAAGCUCAGCUUGGUGUUGGGGCCUGCUGCACUGGCAGCCCUUAAAAUCAGUGGCGGCGCCAUCUGGCUCUAAGCGUAGUAAUUCUUCUCGCUAUGGAGUCCUGGUGGAUGCUUGCCAUCAACCCCCAAUUUUUCUAUGGUUGACCUCGGAUCAGGUAGGGAUACCCGCUGAACUUAAGCAUAUCAAUAAGCGGAGGA